rnacentral:lncRNA from 1 species
AUGCUUUUGCCAGCUGGGAAACUGAAACUUUGCAAGUAUUUGGCCCCAUUCUCUCCGGUAGGAGUUCUUCCGAGUAGAAUUCAGGACUCUGUAAGGCGGUGCUUGAAUCAGCAUCAGCAGCACUGUUACCAGGCUGACUAUUCCAUCCAACUACACAGCAUUGUCAGAGCAAGACAGGACAGCUUCAGCCAGAUCUUCCACUCUUCUUCGGGAUUUUGACUAAUUCAUUGAUUUGCUGAUGUGUUAAUCUCUUCCUGUGUUUAAAUGAUCACAAAGUCUGGUAUGCAUCUAGUCCACUAUGGGUUAAGGUCUGGAAGAUCCAAGUUGGCUGGUUAGACUGUGAAGACCUCACUGUGGGUCCCUGCCUCCCAUGUGUCAUUGUUGCCUUCCUCCCCUUGAGCAGAGAGAGAGGCAAUGAUCUUGCAAGCCAAGACUGUGAUUUGCAAGAUCCAGUGUUUGGGAACUUCAAGACCGAGACUUCAAGGCAAUUAGGCCCAGAGUUUCUCCCAUAACAAAAGAUUGGAAAUGGACUGAGAAAAGCCAGACCACCCACCUCCACAGAGAAAGUCUGGGCAAGACUUUCAGAGAGAGGAAAAGAAAAGCUUAGACGCUGCAUUCUGCUCCACCCUGGCUGAGUCUUCUGCUGCUAACUACCUACGUUAUCCUUGGUAAUCCCUUUACCUGUCUCUACCUCACUAUCCUCAUUUGUCAGAACAUGGUAACUGUGUGGUUACUGCCAGUUGUAAAGUCCCGUUACAGAGUUAAUUACAAAACCAGCAGAUAGUGACAAGCUUCAACUUUGUCUUUGGAAGCAACAUAAUAAUCAAUCAUUUAAACAAUAUUUAUUGAGCAGCUACUUUGUGCUAGAGCUGUGUAUGUGUACUAUACUAGGUACUGGGAACAAAGAAAGGAAAAAUGAGCAAAACUGAUACUCUCCUGAUGCCUGAGUCCACCUUGCCGCCGUGAGAUCACAUGCCUGAGGAUGAAAAAUCUGUCAGGCUGGAGCUGGCAGGGGGAAGCAGGGAAGAAGCCCAGGCCACGUUGAUACCACUAAGCGGAUGAAACAGUUCCUCUGAGCUUCCUGCCUUCAGGUUUCUGGUUCCUUGAGAUAAUUAAAUGUUUUAUUGCUUAAGCCACUCUUGGUGGGUUUUCUGUUUUGUAGCAGCAGGCAUCGUAAGUGAUGAAGGCUCUCUUUUCUGGCUGCCCCAAGACCUUCUCU